rnacentral:rRNA from 1 species
GAUGAACGCUAGCUACAGGCUUAACACAUGCAAGUCGAGGGGAAACGGGAGGAUAGCUUGCUAUCUUCGCCGUCGACCGGCGCACGGGUGAGUAACGCGUAUCCGACCUGCCAUCCAACGGAGGAUAGCCUUUCGAAAGAAAGGAUAAUACUCCAUGACCUCCUCAGAGGACAUCUGACGAGGAGCAAAGAUUUAUCGCUGGUUGAUGGGGAUGCGUCUGAUUAGGCAGUUGGCGGGGUAACGGCCCACCAAACCGACGAUCAGUAGGGGUUCUGAGAGGAAGGUCCCCCACAUUGGAACUGAGACACGGUCCAAACUCCUACGGGAGGCAACAGUGAGGAAUAUUGGUCAAUGGACGUAAGUCUGAACCAGCCAAGUAGCGUGCAGGAUGACGGCCCUAUGGGUUGUAAACUGCUUUUAUGCGGGGGUAAAGUGAGUGACGUGUCAUUCAUUGCAAGUACCGCAAGAAUAAGGACCGGCUAAUUCCGUGCCAGCAGCCGCGGUAA